GAACCCGUGGCGCAGUGGUAGCGCGUGUGAUUCCAGUGCUUACGUAAUUGAAUAUCCACAAGGUCAUCCGUUCAAUCCGGGUCGGGUUCA